rnacentral:rRNA from 1 species
GACGAACGCUGGCGGCGUGCUUAACACAUGCAAGUCGAACGGAAAGGGCCUGCUUUUGUGGGGUGCUCGAGUGGCGAACGGGUGAGUAACACGUGAGUAACCUGCCCUUGACUUUGGGAUAACUUCAGGAAACUGGGGCUAAUACCGGAUAGGAGCUCCUGCUGCAUGGUGGGGGUUGGAAAGUUUCGGCGGUUGGGGAUGGACUCGCGGCUUAUCAGCUUGUUGGUGGGGUAGUGGCUUACCAAGGCUUUGACGGGUAGCCGGCCUGAGAGGGCGACCGGCCACAUUGGGACUGAGAUACGGCCCAGACUCCUACGGGAGGCAGCAGUGGGGAAUAUUGCACAAUGGGCGGAAGCCUGAUGCAGCAACGCCGCGUGCGGGAUGACGGCCUUCGGGUUGUAAACCGCUUUCGCCUGUGACGAAGCGUGAGUGACGGUAAUGGGUAAAGAAGCACCGGCUAACUACGUG